CUCUGCAUGACCAGAGAAAGUAGUUGGUCAGCAGCUGUAUUGCAUAUCUAGCUACAAGUUCUCCUCAAGCAGCCCCUUGGUCCUGCCAGCCUUCUCUGCUCUUCAGGGGCAUCCACCCUGCUGCCUGGGUAUGAAAUCAUCUCCAGUCAUGGAUUUCCCGCCACUGCUUUUUUACCUGAGCACAGUGCUGGUGUCGUGCUGUGGAUUCAGUGUGGAUGUGGACAUGCCAACUAUCUUCAAGAUUCAAACACAGAGCUUUGGGAGCAGCGUGGCACAAACCAGGAAUGCGGUGCUCGUUGGGGCUCCACUCCAGAUGGGAAACGUGAACGAGACGGGUCACCUCUACCAAUGCACCUACUCUACAGGUGCCUGUCAGAAGAUUGCCAUCCAACGACCAGCAGAUGCUGUCAAUAUGUCACUUGGUUUGUUCUUGACUGCCCGGGAUUCUCAGGUUCUGGUAUGUGGUCCCACAGUGCACCGUGCCUGUGGGAACAACAUGUAUAUCAACGGCUACUGUUUCCUUUUGAAUCAAAAUCUCCAGCAGAUCCAGCGCUUUCCAGAUUCCUUGCCAGAAUGCACUCAUCACCCAACAGACAUCGUGUUCUUGAUUGAUGGCUCAGGCAGCAUCAGUUCCAGAGAUUUCCAAAGGAUGAAGGUGUUUGUUGCCGAGGUCAUCCGGAGACUCUCUGGCAGAGGCACAAAGUUUGCUCUUGUGCAGUUUUCAAGUACGUUCAUGGAACACUUUGAUUUCCGCACUUCGAACCCAGCAGACCAUGUCAUGGAUAUUUCUCAGAUUCAAGGGGGAACGUCCACAGCCACCGCCAUCAGAAGAGUUGUGAGAGAGACUUUUGUCCAAAGUAAAGGAUCCCGGAAUGGAGCCACCAAGAUUCUCCUUGUGAUCACUGAUGGGGAGAAAACGGAUUCCCUUGGAUACUGGACCGUGAUACCGGAGGCUGAGAGAGCAGGGAUAAUCCGUUAUGCCAUUGGGGUUGGCAGUGCUUUCUCAAGCUCCCGUGCCAGACAAGAACUGAAUGAUAUCGCUUCCGAACCAGAUGCUGAGCAUGUUUUUGCAGUGCACGACUUUACUGCCCUCAGAGGCAUCCAAGACCAGCUACAGAGUAAAAUCUUUGCCAUAGAAGGUACACAGUCCCAGAGCAGCAGUUCCUUCCAGAUGGAAAUGUCCCAGGAAGGCUUCAGCGCCCUGCUGACCUUGGAUGGCUCCAUCUUAGGGGCAGUGGGAGCCUACGACUGGGCUGGAGGGGUGUUUCUAUAUCAGAACAGAAACCAAAGGUUUAUUAAUAUCUCCAGCACUGCUAAGGAUAUGAAUGAUGCUUAUCUUGGAUAUUCUUCUCAGCUUGUGCAGCUCAACGGCAGGAGUGGCUUUGUGCUGGGAGCUCCCCGCUACAACUAUGUUGGAAAAAUGGUUCUCUUUGAGAGGCAUGCCCAGAACGGGGAAUGGCAGCUCAAAAUGGAGGCUGUUGGAGAACAGGUUGGUUCAUAUUUUGGAGCAGCGUUGUGCUCAGUGGACCUUGAUAGAGACACCAACACAGACUUGAUUCUAGUUGGAGCUCCCAUGUACUAUGAUGCUGUGAUGGGAGGAAGGGUUUACAUCUGUCAUUUUAAGGAGGAAGCACUUGACUGUAGCACAACUUUGAAAGGGCAGUUGGGACAUGUUUUUGGCCGUUUUGGAGCCAGCAUGGUGGAAAUAGGCGACAUUACCGGGGAUGGAUGGACAGAUGUAGCGAUUGGGGCCCCCAUGGAGGAUGAGAAUAUGGGAGCAUUGUACAUAUUUUUGGGGAAACGGAUGUCUAUCAACCACCAGUACAGCCAGCGCAUUGAAGGGUUGCGGUUUUCUGGAGGGUUAUUCUACUUUGGCCAAGCUGUCAGUGGAGGAACAGACCUGACAGGAGAUGGACUGGUGGAUAUAGCUGUUGGAAGACAGACACAGGUUCUGCUGCUGAGGUCCCGUCCUGUUCUCCGAGUGGGAGUCUCCAUUGAAUUCCAGCCCCCUUUGAUCCCCACCUCAGUUUUCCAGUGCCAGGAGCAGGGACCUCUCGAUAAGGCAGCCAGCAUGGUGAAAGCGUGCUUUACUGUUUCCAAGGCCACUCAAGAUUCAUUAGGUGAACUCUUGAGUUACAUUCAGUAUGGCCUGGCCCUGGACUCUGGGAGAACAAAGAUUCGAGCUUCCUUCAGCACUAAAUCCUCCGUUCUGACAGCAGACUUGGAGAUUGGUCUUGAGAGUAAAUGCGAGAACUACUGGAUUGAGUUACCUAUCUGCAUCGAGGACACCUUGACCCCCAUCACCUUACGGCUCAACUACAGCCUUGUGGGGAAGCCCAUUACCAAAGGCAUGAAUUUACGACCUGUUCUGAGCAAAGAGUCCCAGCAGGUCUACGUGGCAGAGCUCCCCUUUGAGAAGAACUGUGGCAGCGAUGGGAAAUGUGAAGAUACUUUACAAACCUCAUUUAAUUUCUCAGGCCUAGGCACUCUGGUUGUAGGAAUGACUCCUGAGAUCAAUGUGACAGCUUCCAUCAAGAACCAGGGAGAGGAUUCCUACCGCACCACAUUACAGUUCUCUUUCCCUGCAGGAGUGUCUUAUCGCAAGGUCACACUGCUUCAGCCCAGCAGGAAGGUUGUCAGCGUGAGGUGCAACUCAGCUCCUGCUUCCGAAGAAGAUGCCAGCAGGAAUGCCACCUGCAGUGUCAACCACCCAAUUUUCUGGAGUAGAGCAGAGGCUGUUUUUGUUGCCACUUUUGAUGUCUCUCCAGAGGUUGAUCUGGGGGAUACUCUGCGCAUGGUGGCAAAGGCCAACAGUGAAAAUGGCGGCAACAUCACCAAGGAUAUGGUUCACCAAGCAGAGCUGCCUGUCAAAUAUGCUGUCUACAUCAUUGCCACUGCCCUUGAGGAGUCAACGAAAUAUGUCAACUUCACCACUGGGCAAGAAGAAAGAAACAAGAGUGUGGAGCAUCGAUAUGAGGUGAAGAAUCUCCGUCAGCGAAGCAUUCCCAUCUCAGUGAUGUUUCAGAUCCCUGUGAAACUGAAAGGGAUCCCAAUGUGGGACAUGUCUCAGGUUAUCCCUUCCCAGCCUGCGCUUGCUAACUGCAUCUUGGAGAGAGAAACUCCAGGCUCCAUGCAUUUUCAGGAGAUGGAGCCCUUCCUUGUGAACUGCUCCAUAGCCUCCUGCAAGAUGAUCCGUUGCAACAUUUCGUCACUGAAGAUGGGGCAGCCGCUGCAGUUCACGAUCAAGGGGAAUAUCAGUUUCCAGUGGAUCGCUCAGACCCAGCAGAAGAAAGUGACCCUGGUGAGUUCUGCCCAAAUUUUCUACGAUGAGAAGAAAUACUACCAGAAGGAGGGAUUUGCACAGAGCCAGGUGCAGAUGGUGGUGGAACGCAUCGAGAUCUACAACUACCUGCCUGUGAUCAUCGGCAGCACUAUUGGGGGGCUUGUCCUGCUGGCACUCAUCGCUGCUGCCCUCUACAAGGUCGGGUUCUUCAAGCGUCAAUAUAAGGAGAUGCUGAACGUAGCUGAAGCCGACAAUGAAGCCACAAAUCCCCCCACACAAGCCACGGACUCCUCUUCCCCCAGCAAAGAUGCUGACCACUAACAUCAUCCCUGGGUCCCUGGAGACCUUUUGAUGUUCCAAAGAAGGUGCCUCUCAGGACCCUGUUUCCCUUAAGCUACGAGAUCUACUCCUCUCCUCUUCACAGAACCAUCCUCGAGGGAUAAUGUGGAACUUCUCAUAUUCUGAGUUGCAAGGUCAAGUCAAGUGCUCUUUAGUGUAAACGACUAGUCACCAUAAACAUGGGGAGAAAGACAAUUUUAAGUCACCAGGUAGAAGGAAGAAGAAAAGCCUGCAGUAAAUGAACUGUCAUUUUUCUUUUACUAUAUAGAAAUACGCCAUGUCCUCUUAACACUAGUCUGGCUGAUAGGCAGUGCUUGCUUCCAAGAGGGACGGGAGGUGCUUAUGGGAUGUCAUGAUGCUGGACCAAUCGCAGCAGGGACAAGUAAAAAAAAUGACCCAAUCAUCAGUCAAGAAGGGAGCGGGUGAAUAGUUUUAGACUGGAUUUCCUGAUUAUUUUGGAAGCCUGAGCUAUCUCAAGUUAGAGUGAUAAUGGUGGCCAUUGCUCACAGGAGGAACUGCCAGUUACAAGUCACUGGAUAAAGACAGAAGAAAGUAGACCUAGGGAGGCAGAAUCUGAGGGACAACUGAUAGCAAAAUGUCGCAGGAAAUAUGCCUUUUGUGAGAGGUGCACAGAGGCACAAAAAUGAGGGAAAUCAUGCUAAACCAUAUUGGGUGGAAGUGUCAAAAUGUUGGGAACAUGUAAUGAUUGUACCAACAAAUACCUCUCUCAAACACCGAGUUUCAUUUUGGAAUAAGUCUACAAUGUGAUUUCAGCAAAGUCUCUGCUAUUUUAUCAGCUGUUACAAUGUGCCCCAGAAGCCUCAUUCUUGUUUUGUCUUAACUUAAGAGUAUUCUUUGCUAGACCCUCUUUGGAGACUGGACUUCCUCUGUUUGCUCUGACACUAGAUAUAAAUAGUCUCCAGGAAUCCAAGGGAGGGGCGG